rnacentral:piRNA from 1 species
GUUGUUGACACCACGGGCAGAC